rnacentral:lncRNA from 1 species
UUCUCAUCAUCUUCUUAUCUUACCUUUUAGGCUUCCGUCUUUAUCUCUUAUUCCAGCUGGACGUCUGGAAUUAUAUUAUCUUCUCCGUUGCAUUUCGAACAUAUGUGGUCAGGGUAUUUGUGACCAAUUAGCUUGCAAUAUCUGGUUAAUAAUUCUGCCGAAAUAAAUCCUACUUUUAGUGCUCGUGUCGUAGGUCGUUCUUCUGGCUUAAGUAAUGAUAAAAUCCAUCUUUGGACUUCAUCCAUAUCUGCUUUCCUUAACUCCCUUGAAUUGGAAUAAAUCAUUAACUGAUCUCUUGCAUAGUAGCUCCAUAUAGCGUUUCCGUUUAAAUAAUUAUUUGCUAGUUCUUGUAUAAUGGUUGAUAUACCAAUUAUUCUCUUAUUGGCAUAAAAACUGGGUAUCUCGCUUUUUUG